GAUCAAAUUAUGAAGCUGUAGGCCCAAUUAUUGGAACAACCCAAAAUAUUAGAUAACAGCAAAGCUAAGGAUGCUCAAAUUUUGAGUCUACAAGCUCAGCUAGGAGAAAAGAACAAAUUGGAACGGAACAGUUUCCAAACAGUGAAGGAGGUUUUUCAAAACUCUUCCCUAACUGAACGUGAGGAUGAGUUGGCAUUAGGCGAACACAGUCAGUUAUUCAGUCUACCACCUGACAGUGUGUUAAAGUUAAAUUCUGUUAGUGCUGCAGUAAAAGAAUUGUUAGUAAUAAGUCCAUGCAGCGAAGGAAGUGAACAAUUGUGGGACCGUAUUUGGGCUGAAAAUGGGUGUGGUACGGAAACCCAGAAAUAGCAUGAGUUCAACAUAAAACAUGAAUUAGAAUAUUAGUGGGGGAUCAAGUCAAGUCUGAAAGUGUUACAGGAUGGAAGAGUGAGCCUACAGUUGAAAAACACUGAAAGUGCAUUACCAUUAAGGUAUGAGGUAAAGUAAUAGAGUAUGCAAAUUGUCUAAUGAGAAGUACCAUCUUGUGUGAAUGAAUCCUGUGUAACAGCAAUCCUUUAUAGUUCUGUCACAGCUAGAAGCCUAAAAUAAUUCUGCCUCUCUUGCUAAAGAACAACUUGUCCUUUACAUUCAGAGUGUUGGUGAAGCUAGGUACUUAAAUGGCCCUAAAGAUGUUUCAUUUCGUUGGCAUUGCAGCGAUGAACAUCAUAC